UAGGGAAUCUUCCGCAAUGGGCGAAAGCCUGACGGAGCAACGCCGCGUGAGUGAUGAAGGUCUUCGGAUCGUAAAACUCUGUUAUUAGGGAAGAACAAAUGUGUAAGUAACUAUGCACGUCUUGACGGUACCUAAUCAGAAAGCCACGGCUAACUACGUGCCAGCAGCCGCGGUAAUACGUAGGUGGCAAGCGUUAUCCGGAAUUAUUGGGCGUAAAGCGCGCGUAGGCGGUUUUUUAAGUCUGAUGUGAAAGCCCACGGCUCAACCGUGGAGGGUCAUUGGAAACUGGAACACUUGAGUGCAGAAGAGGAAAGUGGAAUUCCAUGUGUGGCGGUUAAAUGCGCAGAGAUAUGGAGGAACACCAGUGGCGAAGGCGACUUUCUGGUCUGUAACUGACGCUGAUGUGCGAAAGCGUGGGGAUCAAACAGG
rnacentral:rRNA from 1 species